rnacentral:rRNA from 1 species
UACGUAGGUGGCAAGCGUUAUCCGGAUUUAUUGGGCGUAAAGGGGACGUAGGCGGUCUUUUAAGUCUGAUGUGAAAGCCUUCGGCUUAACCGGAGUAGUGCAUUGGAAACUGGGAGACUUGAGUGCAGAAGAGGAGAGUGGAACUCCAUGUGUAGCGGUGAAAUGCGUAGAUAUAUGGAAGAACACCAGUGGCGAAAGCGGCUCUCUGGUCUGUAACUGACGCUGAGGUUCGAAAGCGUGGGUAGCAAACAGG